rnacentral:snoRNA from 1 species
AGCCCAAUGAUGUACUUGAAUAUAUACGCUAUACCUAGUCGGGCCCACACAUGUUGUGGAAACCGAGGCGGACAGUUUCUUGCACUGAGGGCU